GACGAACGCUGGCGGCGUGCCUAAUACAUGCAAGUCGAGCGAAGUUUUUCUGGUGCUUGCACUAGAAAAACUUAGCGGCGAACGGGUGAGUAACACGUAAAGAACCUGCCUCAUAGACUGGGACAACUAUUGGAAACGAUAGCUAAUACCGGAUAACAGUAUUUCUCGCAUGGGAGAUAUUUAAAAGUUGGUUAUGCUAACACUAUGAGAUGGCUUUGCGGUGCAUUAGCUAGUUGGUGGGGUAAAGGCCCACCAAGGCGACGAUGCAUAGCCGACCUGAGAGGGUGAUCGGCCACACUGGGUCUGAGACACGGCCCAGACUCCUACGGGAGGCAGCAGUAGGGAAUCUUCCGCAAUGGGCGAAAGCCUGACGGAGCAACGCCGCGUGAGUGAAGAAGGAUUUCGGUUCGUAAAGCUCUGUUGUUAGGGAAGAAUGGAUAUGUAGUAACUAUACAUGUACGAGACG
rnacentral:rRNA from 1 species